rnacentral:rRNA from 1 species
UAAGGAAUAUUGGUCAAUGGGCGCAAGCCUGAUCCAGCCAUGCCGCGUGAGUGACGAAGGUCUUCGGAUUGUAAAGCUCUUUUGGCGGGGACGAUAAUGACGGUACCCGCAGAAUAAGCCCCGGCUAACUUCGUGCCAGCAGCCGCGGUAAUACGAAGGGGGCUAGCGUUGUUCGGAAUUACUGGGCGUAAAGCGCACGUAGGCGGAUUUGUAAGUCAGGGGUGAAAUCCCGGGGCUCAACCUCGGAACUGCCUCUGAUACUGCGAAUCUCGAGUCCGAUAGAGGUGAGUGGAAUUCCUAGUGUAGAGGUGAAAUUCGUAGAUAUUAGGAAGAACACCAGUGGCGAAGGCGGCUCACUGGAUCGGUACUGACGCUGAGGUGCGAAAGCGUGGGGAGCAAACAGGAUUAGAUACCCUAGUAGUCCCUGAGCGGGCUGGCAAGGCGCAU